ensembl:lncRNA
AUGGGCAAAGCUGUGAACACCUCGGCCUGCCUUGCUGGCCCAGGGUCCCGUCCAUGUGUGCGGCUCCCUGAGAUGUGGAGAUGCACCCAGCUGACCUUUACUGCGUGUUAUGCGCUCCGCUCUCCGUGGGCCAGCCUGUGCGCUGCUCAGCCCUACCCACUUUCCUCAGAUGAACCAGGGACGGCCGUGGGCCCUGGGUACCGGUCAGAACCCGAGGUAAUGAGCUCCUCUCUCCGUGUUUCCGUGGCCCACGUGGCCUCGAUCACUUUGCGUGAGCCUCCUGGAUCAGCCAAAGGCACUGUCAUUGUUGGCCUGGGGUCCAGACAAACAGAACAACCGUUACGUGAACACUGCUGGUCGCAGGAACAGAGGGAGAGACCGAGAGGGACGGGACCCUGCCCAGACUUGGGCUUCCUCCGAGCUGCUGCUCACGUCCCACUGGGCGAAGCAAGUCAUGUGCCUGCAUCUAACUCCCCGUGCGGCACAGGACAAGGCGGCUGCGUUUCGGGGAGGUUGUGUGAAUUCGUGUCCCUUAAGCACUUAGAACAGCACCUUGUGCCCAGUGAGCCCCGCGCAGUGUUAGCUGGGACCCCGCUGCUGUCUCUGUUGUUUGCUGUUAAGGACAGGGACCCCAAGGCUCAGGAAGGUGCAGUGACUUGCUCAAAGCCAGGACCCGGGCUGGGGAAGCCCAGACAGAAACCUGUGACAGCCGGUGGCCUCUUGGUGCUGUCCUCAGGGCCCGAGUCCCGGCUGUUCAAGGAACAGGGCCAACUCAGGAACGGACAAGCCCCACUCUCUACUCCCAGAGAGGAGCCAGGUGUGUGUGUGCCUGUGUGUGUCUGUAUCAGUGUGUGUGUGUCUCUGUGUAUCUAUGUGUGUGUUUGUGUGUGCUUACAUGUGUCUGCAUGUGUGUGUCUCUGCGAUUGUGUGUAUCUGUGUGUGUCUGCAUCUCUGUGUGUAUGUAUCUGUGUGUCUGUGUGUGCGUGUAUCUGUGUGUGUCUGUGUGUCUCUGUGUGUAUGUAUCUGUGUGUCUGUGUGUGUAUCUGUGUGUCUCUCUGUGUGUGCUUGCACACACCUGUGUGCCUGUGUGUAUGUAUCUGUGUGUGUAUAUAUCUGUGUGUGUCUCUGUGGUUGUGUGUAUAUCUGUGUGUGUCUGUGUGUCUACAUAUCUCUGGGUCUAUGUGUAUGUAUCUCUGUGUGUGUGUCUCUGUGUGUUUGCAUGCGUCUGUGUUUGUGUGUGUGUGCACGUGUGACCAACAGACAUGGAACACACAGAGAGAGACAGGCAUGGAGCAGACAGGCCCCUCGGGAGCCAGCUCAGCAGACUGGUGGAGGCAGGGUACGGGGGGACCCCUGCAGACCCCUGCAGAAGCGGCCGUGGCUCCUGUUCCCGGGACUCAGGCAGGCCUGGCGGGGGAGGUGGUGUCUGCUGGACUCCCCAGCCUGGAGUCGGAGACGGGGGAGGAGAGUGAGCGUCUGCUGAGGGUGUCUGGGGCAAGAGCGAGGCCGCGGUCUGUUCUGACCAGAGCGCACUGCCACGAAGGGGCACACACGGCAACUGCCGGCCACUCCCGCACUGCUGGCAGCAAGGACCGGAGGCUUAUCAUGGCAUUCCGGCAGAUGGCAGCAAACGCCAGGACCCAGUGCUGGGCUGGGGAUUCCCUCCGUCCCCGCUGCUGGCUGGGCGCACUGUGUCCCUCUGUGGGGGUGUCCCCUCCAGAUGUUGCUCCCGGGACUUCCACAAGUCCCUUCACUGAGGUCCCCAGGUAA